AUCCUACUUUCACUGACUUCCCUUUCGAGAAGCAGCAUCUGUGGUUUCGUCAGUUUGCGCAAGAAUUCAACUGGAAUUCUGAUGAGACGCUCUUUGUCUAUCACAACUUCGUCCAUAAAGUUAUGGACAACUACAGGAAGCAGAUCCACGAGUGGAAGAAGAAGUGGGAGAUCAACAAGGUCCAAAAGUCGAUAAACAACACGGUCUGGACGGAGUUGUGUGCGCAUUGGGAUAAG